AAAAUACAAAAAACAGAAGACAAAGUUGAAGAGAAGACCGGGGUCAUGACUUCUGACAUCAUUUCCAUAUUGUGUUCAAAAAUGCUAUUAAAGUUUCAAAGCAAUUCGAAGUUUCUGCCAAUGCCUGUGAUUGGUCAUCCAUUAUGGCGUCCUCUCAUUUCGACCAAUCAGACACGUCAUUGUGUGAGCGAGUGCGUGGAUUUGUGACGCAGUACAGCAUUCCUCUUCGAAGCUUCGUCCCGCUUGCACGUGUUUGCAACAGGGUGCAAUGCGCGGAGUGUGGUGGCGUGCAACAGUCGUCUCGAAGCUUCGUCCGUUUGGCACGUGUCUGCAACAGACGUGUUCGUGUACUUCGUUAGGUAUCGGCCGGUAGCAGAAUAUACCGAACAUUGCCGAGUGUUGCCGAAGUGCCGACCGGUCUACGAUGGGAAGGAAGGUCUCGCCAUUGCUCUCUCGAGCGUCGAAGUGAGAAGACGUGUCGAGGUCGUGCUCCAGUAUAAGCAAUACGAAAAUAUUUAUUUGAUUUCAAAAAGGCGCCAUGGGAUACGACACCAUUGAUAUUGGUUCGAAAUAUAAUUUUGUAAAGGGUAUAUAAUAUAAUUGGCAACAUUUUAAUUUAUUAUAAUCAAUUAUUAAUGCUUUUUUUGAGUCGUUGUUAAGUGUAAGCAUGUUUGAUAAUUAAUUGGUUAAUUAAAUGGU